GUCGAAUCAUUAUUAUGCCAUUAGCCACUAGAACAAGUUAGGUUAGACUUGAUUGUAUAUCAUUCUCACAAUUAACAUCAAUAGUAUCUGAGGGCUAACAUAUUGACGGUGCUGCUCUGCCAAACAUUUUAUAACAAUGGUAUGCAAUAGAGACACAGUACCCACCUCAUCCGAAAGCACACACCGAUCGAAUCAACCAGCUUCAAGGGAGACAACUCAUUUUCAUGGUGAAGCAUAUUGCAACUUGGUUGAAUUUUUAAACAGAUGAUAAGACUAGUCAUUACCCAGAUAAGCUAAUUUGAUUUGACUAAUUAAUUACAUUUGGCAUCAACGAUCGCAUCCCAAAAUUUGCAUAAUUAUCAUAUGCUGUUGCUGUAGUCUCCAUCCAAUGAAAACAAUUCGCCUAAUCCAAUCUGCAGCUUGUCACCGCUAAUUGAAGAAGCCACCUGAAACUCUCCAAAUGUUGGGUGAAGUUCGCUAAAGAUUCCUAAAUGAUUACUAACAUCAUGUCAGGUUGUUAUGAACCAGACAUCUCAACAAACGUCCUAAGAUAAGACACACCACCAUCUAAGUGAGAUAAAACUUUUCACACUGUCUGCUUUGUUUCAUGUUCCAUCUUCUAAAGAGUGUCAGUUUAGUCACGAAAUUUGCCAUUAAAGUUGAGACAGUAGUACCUGUAUCAAUGAUAUUCCAGUGGUGAGUUCCCAUUCUUGGAGGGAUUAAAUCAAGAGUACAAUGCCUAAUCAAUGGCCUGCACUUAACAAGAAUAAUGAUUAUAUAUCACAGAAAAAGAAAUCUUAUGUUGUAUAGAUUAAAACAUAAAGAAACCGACUUGUGAAUAGAAAAUCAAAUUAAGUUUUUAGCCUUGAGCCGCCUUGAUCUACGACUAAAUGGGGAACCCCACCUUUUUUGUCCCCUGAUCUUGGCAGAAAAAUCCUUCUGGGGGAAGCUAGCAUGCAAAGAAUGGGUACCAAGAAAAGUUAACCCAAAAGCAAGAGAAACAGAGAAAAUAGACUUCAUCAUCCCAACUUAGCCCU
rnacentral:misc_RNA from 1 species